UCAGGUACAAACCCAGAUUCUCCGAGUCUAAAUCCAGUGGUCUCUCCACUACAGAACAACGCCCCUUGACACUAGAGGAGGCUGUGGGAAACAAGGGCUCCCAAGGACCCUGCCCAGCCUACUGGUAGACAGUAUUUGGUCUGAGGGUCAUGUGAGCAGAGUUGGGGUUACCCAGCUGUCUGCUCACAGCAGUCUGUGCAAAUUCAAAGAAAUAGAGUAUGAGUUCAAAGAACUCAACUUGAAGAACUGGAAAAGCAGCUCUCUGCUUGAGCUUAUGGGGAAGUAAAAGCUGAAAUGUGAUGAGAAGGCUUGCAAAUGUCCCUACCUACUACCCUCAAGUCUUUCCUUCUUCCUUCUAUUUUCAGUGAGGCCAAUAAACAGAUCUUUCUCCAUUGCUAUGUCAUCUGUGUUUAUUUGUUUGGGGCUCCUCAGGCAGCCCUCUGGCCCUGAAAAUAUUUAAUGAAAUAUUAACUACCUCAGCCUCACAGCACCCUCUAACCACUGUGCACUAAUGGAAAAGCUGGAAGCACAGUUUGUGUAUUAAGAACAGCUGCCAGGGGCUGGUUUCCUCAGACAGAGACAUGUCACAGAGAAGGUGUUGGCUCAGAGGAGGGACCAGGCAAGGACCAGUCGGGAGGCAGAGCUGUCCCCAAGCGAGCCAUGCAGAGGGUCUGCUCCUUCAUCCACCUCACCCUCUUCUGGGCAGGAGUCAUGUCAGCUGUCGUGUUGUUGCCUCAAGACCAAGAAAAGACUGUGCCUGUGGGGAAAUCUGUCACCCUCAGUUGCUCCAUGAAAGGAGACUCCAUCAGUAAACACUAUAUUUUCUGGUACAGGAAGACCCCGGGUAACAGAAUGACUUUCAUAUACCGAGAAGGGGGUACAUAUGGCCCUGGGUUUGAGGACAACUUCCGAGGUAAAAUUGAUGAUUUAACCAACCAGGCUAUGCUGGAGGUCCUGAAGGUAUCAAAGAGAGAUGAAGGAUUUUACUACUGUGCCAGUGUUACCACCCUGCUGCAGGUUCACUUCUAA